rnacentral:rRNA from 1 species
GCAUCUGCUGUGAAGGCAAAGGGGUGACCCAUGCUGGAGCGUUGCGAAGUAAGAAUGUUGGCACAAGUAACCACAAUGCGCAUGAAAACUGCGCACGCCGAAAGACUAAGGUUUCCUUCUCGAUGUCAAUCAGGGAAGGGUUAGUCGGACCUAAGGGAAUGGCGAAAGCCGCACCCGAUGGAUAGCAGGUUAAUAUUCCUGCACUUUUGUAUGUUGCGAUGGAUGGACGGAGUGUAGUAUGCAUUGCUCAUUAUUGGAUUUGAAGUCAGUACUGUAAGGAUGUCUUCCAGGUAAAUCCGGAAGACCACUUUAAUGUGUAAUUCAAGCAGUACCGAAACCCGGAGAUUCGUCAAAGGGGAUAAUGCAAAGCACGCUUCCAAGAAAAACUUCUAAGCAUAAACAUAUAAAAACCGUACCGUAAACCGACACAGGUAGUCAGGUCGAGAAGACCAAGGCGAACGAGUGAGAGGUCCCCAAGGAACUCGGCAAAAAAGCGGCCGUACCUUCGGUAUAAGGCCUGCCCCUAGCAAUAGGGGCCGCAGCUAAAGUAUCCCUGGCGACUGUUUAUCAAAAACACAGCUCCCUGCGAACUCGUAAGAGGAUGUAUAGGGGGUGACGCCUGACCAAUGCCAGAAGGUCAAACAACGACGUUGUGUGCAUCACACUUUGUGUGAUCACACCAAUAAAAAGUGGUCGCAUCGCGCGAAGCGUGAUGUACAUGGUGAUUGUUGUAAGCCCUGGUGAAUGUCGGCAAUAACUAUAAUUGUCCUAAGGUUUUGGAACUUUUUUAAAAAGGUUUCAAAAGGACUGGGACAGUUAUAGAGAUAAGCAGUUUAAUAAAAAAGAAAAAUAAACGAGACAAAAUAAAGUUAGUUACGCAAAAAAGAAGCUACCUACACUGCAGUAAUGUAGUGUUAGUCCAAAUAUGGUUAAUAAGUGCACCAACACCAUACGCCCGACUAAAAAUUUUAAGGGUGAAGAUAGAGUCCAACUUGAAAGGAAUAGUUGAGCGAAAUUCCUUGUCUGGUAAGUUCAGACGCGCACGAAUGGCGUAACGACUGGGGAACUGUCUCGGGGACUCGCUCGGUGAAAAUACAGUACCGGUGAAGAUGCCGGUUACCUGCAGUUAGACGAAAAGACCCCGGAAGCUUUACUGCAACUUGGCAUUGAGGAUAUGUUUUUACUGCGUAGCAUAGAUGGGAGGAUUUGAGAUAUCUCUUUCGGGAGAUGUUGAUCCGUCAGUGAAAUACCAUUCUGUGAUGACAUAUUUUCUAACCUCUCGCGUCAAACGCGAAAGAGACAGUGCCUGGCGGGCAGUUUUAGUGGGGCGCUAUCCUCCUAAAGAGUAACGGAGGAGCCUAUUAAGGUCAGCUAGCCGUGAAUGGAAACCAUGGCGAUAGUGUAUAGGCACAAGCUGGCUUAACUGCAAGACGUACAUGUCGAGCAGAUGCGAAAGCAGAGCUAAGUGAACCGAUCGUACGCGUUAGACGCGGCGAAAGAUUAUCGGACAAAAGCUACUCCGGGGAUAACAGGCUGGUUCCGCCUAAGCGUCCAGAGCGACGGCGGAGUUCGGCACCUCGAUGUCGGCUCAACUUAUCCCGGGGGUGGAGAAGCUCCCAAGGGUAUGGCUGUUCGCCAUUUAAAAAGUUACGCGAGCUGGGUUCAGACCGUUCAGAAUAAAAUGAAAAGAUUCAAAGAAGCAAAGAAGGAAAAAUUAAUCUUUCCAUCUUUAAAUCUUUCCUUCUUUCAAUUGUAUUUUGAAUAAUCUGAAUCCUCAGAGGAAAUUGAAAUUAAAAUCAUAAUGUUAUAAGUUUUUUUGUUAAGUAAAAAAGAUAAGAACAAUCAAAUCACGGCGGUCUUUGAUAUUUAAAAUAUUGAAGAUUAAAGUUGACUAUAUCGGUGAAGUCCUGAGAGAAGUCGAAGGAUAAUACCGAGGGAAGAGGUCGCGAGUACACGACAUAAGUGUCGCUU